rnacentral:rRNA from 1 species
AGUCUGAAUAGGGCAUACAGUCGCAAGGAUUAGACACGAAACCGGGUGAGCUACCCAUGGCCAGGGUGAAGCGGGUCUAAUAGCCCGUGGAGGCCCGAACCCACUAAUGUUGCAAAAUUAGGGGAUGAGCUGUGGGUAGGGGUGAUAUGCCAAACGAACCUGGAGAUAGCUUGUUCUCCCCGAAAUAGCUUUAGGGCUAGCGUCAUGCGUUUAGUACCGGAGGUAGAGCACUGGAUGGGCUAGGGGGCUUACUGCUUACCGAACCCAACCAAACUCCGAAUGCCGGUACUCCAGAGCAUGGCAGUCGGACUACGGGAGAUGAGUUUCGUAGUCGAGAGGGAAACAGCCCAGACCAUCAGCUAAGGUCCUCAAGUUUAGGCUAAGUGGGAAACGAUGUGGGACUACAAGGACAACCAGGAGGUUGGCUUAGAAGCAGCCACCCUUUAAAGAGUGCGUAAUAGCUCACUGGUCAAGUGGUCCUGCGCGGAAAAUUCAACGGGGCUAAGCCUAACACCGAAGCUAUGGAUGUGCACAGAUCUUUGGAUCGGUGCGUAUGGUAGGGGAGCGUUCUGCCAGCGGUGAAGGUCGACCGUAAGGACGGCUGGAGCGGGCAGAAGUGAGAAUGCAGGCAUGAGUAGCGUAAAACACGUGAGAACCGUGUUCGCCGUAAGUCUAAGGUUUCCGACGGCAGGUCAAUCCGCGUCGGGUUAGUCGGUCCUUAGCCGAGGCCGAGAGGCGUAGGCGAUGGAUAUCCGGUCAACAUUCCGGAACCACCCUGGAGGAGCGAAGGGGGGACGCAACGAGGUAGGCCAGCCCGCGAUUGGUAGAGCGGGUGUAAGUGUGUAGGCGAUGAGGGCUGUAGGCAAAUCCGCAGCCUGAGCUGAGGCACGAAUGCGAGCCCUUGAGGCAGAAGUGGUUGAGCCUUGUUGCCAAGAAAAGCCCCUAAGUGAUGAAUCCUGGGUGACCGUACCGCAAACCGACACUGGUAGACGGGUAGAGAAUACCAAGGCGAACGGGAGAACCUUCGUUAAGGAACUAGGCAAAUUAGCCCCGUAACUUCGGGAUAAGGGGUGCCUUCUGAGGUGAAAGUCUAGACGGCUGUAGCUUCGGGAGGUCGCAGUGAAAUGGCUCUAGUGACUGGUUAACAAAACCACAGGUCUCUGCAAAGCCGUAAGGCGAUGUAUAGGGGCUGACACCUGCCCAGUGCCGGAAGGUUAAAGGGAGGGGUUAGGCCGCAAGGUCGACGCUCUGAACUGAAGCCCCGGUGAACGGCGGCCGUAACUAUAACGGUCCUAAGGUAGCGAAAUUCCUUGUCGGGUAAGUUCC